UACGUAGGGGGCAAGCGUUGUCCGGAUUUAUUGGGCGUAAAGAGCGUGUAGGCGGCCUUACAGGUCAGCUGUGAAAACUCGAGGCUCAACCUCGAGACGUCGGUUGAAACCGUAAGGCUAGAGUCCGGAAGAGGAGAGUGGAAUUCCCGGUGUAGCGGUGAAAUGCGCAGAUAUCGGGAAGAACACCAGUGGCGAAGGCGACUACCUGGCCUGUUCUUGACGCUGAGGCGCGAAAGCUAGGGGAGCAAACGGG
rnacentral:rRNA from 1 species